AUGGAGCAGAAACAACAAACAUGUUACUUCAGCAAGAGGGAGAGUAAUGAUCCUGAUGAUACUCUUACCAUUUUGUUACCAAAAUGUUGCACUAGACCUGCGGAGGGGUUUAUCUGGUUCUUAUGGUCUGCUGCAUGCCUGGAGGUGUCUCUGGCACAGCUGUGCCUCUUGAGGCGACCUCCUCUACCGCGGUGGUUGUGUGCGGCAUCAGCUACAACCUCUCCGUGUCAUGGUGUGGUACUUGAAACCUUUAGUUUGGAGAUGCAAGAGGAUAUUCUGAUUGGAAUCUUGCUGAAAUGCUAUUUUUCCUUCAAGGAGACAUUGCUGCCAGAAUUGUACCAAAUUGGCAUCCGUUAUGCUGGCAUUGCACGCAUGGCGUUGGCCCUCUCCUUGAAGUUCAGUGCUGUACCAAUCGUCGUGCCAGUCUGGAACCGUGCGUGGGGGAGCCGUGUCUUGGCAUUUGUGUCACUUCCGAAGAUAAAGUUAGAGCUGUCGCUGUUCCGGCUUUUUUAUGGCAAUUCCUCUUCUGUCAAUAACUCAGGUCCUCAGCCCACCUGCAUAUCCACUCUGACCCCCUCACGCCUAACCUCCAUUGCUUUAUUGAGUUAUAGGAGGUUCAGUACCGAUGAGCUUUGCAUUCGUGGUUCAUAUUUCCAGAAGACAAGAUUUCUCACGAAACUUCUAACGGAAGAUCUGGCCGCGUCUCUCUGUCCGGCCCAAAAAGAUUGUCCUUUGGCGGCUCCUCUUGGUCGCCUCCCGUGCUUAAACGCACGGAUCCGCCUCCUGGAUGGUGCUCCUGCGCCUGGGCAUCAGCCACAAACUAAUCUGUCAGUCAUCUCUUCGUGGAUAACACUAAUUAGGGGGCGUGAAGUAGUUGCACACUAUAUUUCUUUCCUUACGAAGCUAUGCCACCAGCCUCUGAAAGGUGAUGCCAUAGUGGCACCGCCAACACUUACUUGGGUUACUUUUGUGGCAAAGCUAUGCCACCACCAGCAUGUCAAAGAUGAUGCCUGCCGGCACUUGGAUUAUGCGACUGUCCGUCGUUCCAUGUCAUGGAAUGGAUGGAUGAUGGUGAGCGACCACCAAUGGAUCUGGCCGAAUACAAUACGCCUUGCCGAUUUACCAUUAGACUUGAAAAAGAGACUGGAGUGGUGUUUGUAUGUAAGCAGAGGAUUAUUUGGCUGGCAGUUCUUUUCCUCCUUUGACAAUCAUGGAUGGAUGGGUCUUGUUCUUGUCCUCCUUUUUUAUGCGGGGUUUGUUCUUGUCCUCCUUGACAAACGAACAUGGAUGGAUGCUAGUUUUAGUGUCGAAACUGUCUUCGUCGCUCGCUUAUUAUGUGACAAGCAAGUUGAAGAUAAUCAAUCUGUAGAAGUAUAUCGCUCCCGCCUCCUCCUCUUCCUCCAUUACUCCCUCCAUCCUGUUCCAUCCAUUGGUGGCCGCCUCCUCACGCGGAUCACCCUCUCAUCCGACGUCUCUCCGCGUCCCUGCCCACUCUCUGCCUACACCAUCUUCUCAUCUCACACUAUAUAUGUCCAGCCCGCCUUUUUCUCUCGCGCCACACGGUUCUCCCCUUCUAUGUGUCGAUCGACUAAGCGCCAACCACCAACUCCUCCUUUCUCCUCGAGGCAGCACAAAACAAGUACAUCAAGCUGCCGGCUAGCCGAUGCGGUGUCCGGCAAUCACAUGAUGUUGAGAGAUGCUCCGUUGGAUGAUGGGCCAGCCGACAGGUGUUUGUUUCUGAAGAUUCAGACGAGCCAAUGCAAGCAAAGUUUUUCUAUCCCGGCACUCAUGCUUCUAGCCGAAACUACAUCUCGGCUUGUACUCCUAUUAGAAUGCGACCACGGGUGGGUCUUGUGCGUUUCCUCGGGUGGAAAUACUAAUGAUGUUGUGCGCGGGUGGGGCUUAGGAGACCGCUGCAGGGGAGGUGAUUUGGCCGCUCCGUAA
rnacentral:rRNA from 1 species